rnacentral:rRNA from 1 species
AUUGAACGCUGGCGGCAGGCUUAACACAUGCAAGUCGAGCGGGGUGAUGGUGCUUGCACUAUCACUUAGCGGCGGACGGGUGAGUAAUGCUUAGGAAUCUGCCUAUUAGUGGGGGACAACAUCUCGAAAGGGAUGCUAAUACCGCAUACGUCCUACGGGAGAAAGCAGGGGAUCACUUGUGACCUUGCGCUAAUAGAUGAGCCUAAGUCGGAUUAGCUAGUUGGUGGGGUAAAGGCCUACCAAGGCGACGAUCUGUAGCGGGUCUGAGAGGAUGAUCCGCCACACUGGGGCUGAGACACGGCCCAGACUCCUACGGGAGGCAGCAGUGUGGAAUAUUGGACAAUGGGGGGAACCCUGAUCCAGCCAUGCCGCGUGUGUGAAGAAGGCCUUAUGGUUGUAAAGCACUUUAAGCGAGGAGGAGGCUCUUUUGGUUAAUACCCAAGAUGAGUGGACGUUACUCGCAGAAUAAGCACCGGCUAACUCUGUGCCAGCCGCCGCCGUAA